CCUACGGGAGGCAGCAGUGGGGAAUAUUGCACAAUGGGCGAAAGCCUGAUGCAGCGACGCCGCGUGAGGGAUGACGGCCUUCGGGUUGUAAACCUCUUUCAGCAGGGAAGAAGCGAAAGUGACGGUACCUGCAGAAGAAGCGCCGGCUAACUACGUGCCAGCAGCCGCGGUAAUACGUAGGGCGCAAGCGUUGUCCGGAAUUAUUGGGCGUAAAGAGCUCGUAGGCGGCUUGUCACGUCGGAUGUGAAAGCCCGGGGCUUAACCCCGGGUCUGCAUUCGAUACGGGCUAGCUAGAGUGUGGUAGGGGAGAUCGGAAUUCCUGGUGUAGCGGUGAAAUGCGCAGAUAUCAGGAGGAACACCGGUGGCGAAGGCGGAUCUCUGGGCCAUUACUGACGCUGAGGAGCGAAAGCGUGGGGAGCGAACAGGAUUAGAUACCCUGGUAGUCCACGCCGUAAACGUUGGGAACUAGGUGUUGGCGACAUUCCACGUCGUCGGUGCCGCAGCUAACGCNUUAAGUUCCCGCCUGGGGAGUACGGCCGCAGGCUAAACUCAAAUGAAUUGACGG
rnacentral:rRNA from 1 species